UACGAAGGGGGCUAGCGUUGCUCGGAAUUACUGGGCGUAAAGGGCGCGUAGGCGGAUAUUUAAGUUGGGGGUGAAAUCCCGGGGCUCAACCUCGGAAUUGCCUUCAAAACUGGAUAUCUUGAGUUCGGGAGAGGUGAGUGGAACUCCGAGUGUAGAGGUGAAAUUCGUAGAUAUUCGGAGGAACACCAGUGGCGAAGGCGGCUCACUGGCUCGGUACUGACGCUGAGGUGCGAAAGCGUGGGGAGCAAACAGG
rnacentral:rRNA from 1 species